GGCCAGUUAGCUCAGUCGGUUGAGUGUGGCUCUAACAACGCCAAGGACGCCGGUUUGAUUCCCGUUCGGUCCC
rnacentral:tRNA from 1 species